GAGGGGAUGGCUCAGUGGUAGAGAGCUUGCCUAACAUGCAUGAGGUCCUGGGUUCAACGCCCAGUACCUCCG
rnacentral:tRNA from 1 species